rnacentral:rRNA from 1 species
CGGGGGGGGCAAGCGUUGUUCGGAAUUACUGGGCGUAAAGGGCUCGUAGGCGGCCAACUAAGUCGGACGUGAAAUCCCCAGGCUCAACUUGGGAACUGCGUCCGAUACUGAUUGGCUUGAAUCCGGGAGAGGGAUGCAGAAUUCCAGGUGUAGCGGUGAAAUGCGUAGAUAUCUGGAGGAAUACCGGUGGCGAAGGCGGCAUCCUGGACCGGCAUUGACGCUGAUGAGCGAAAGCUAGGGGAGCAAACGGGAUUAGAUACCCCGGUAGUCCUAGCCCUAAACGAUGAAUGCUUGGUGUGACGGGUAUCGAUCCCUGUCGUGCCGAAGCUAACGCAUUAAGCAUUCCGCCUGGGGAGUACGGUCGCAAGGCUG